rnacentral:rRNA from 1 species
AUUGAACGCUGGCGGCAUGCUUUACACAUGCAAGUCGAACGGUAACAGGUUAAGCUGACGAGUGGCGAACGGGUGAGUAAUGCAUCGGAACGUGCCCGGUCGUGGGGGAUAACGCAGCGAAAGCUGCGCUAAUACCGCAUACGAUCUGAGGAUGAAAGCGGGGGACCGUAAGGCCUCGCGCGAUCGGAGCGGCCGAUGUCAGAUUAGAUAGUUGGUGGGGUAAAGGCUCACCAAGCCAACGAUCUGUAGCUGGUCUGAGAGGACGACCAGCCACACUGGGACUGAGACACGGCCCAGACUCCUACGGGAGGCAGCAGUGGGGAAUUUUGGACAAUGGGCGAAAGCCUGAUCCAGCAAUGCCGCGUGCAGGAAGAAGGCCUUCGGGUUGUAAACUGCUUUUGUACGGAGCGAAAAGGUCUCCUAAUACAGGGGGCUCAUGACGGUACCGUAAGAAUAAGCACCGGCUAACUACGUGCCAGCCGCCGCCGUAA